AUUGAACGCUGGCGGCAGGCCUAACACAUGCAAGUCGAGCGGAUGAAGGGAGCUUGCUCCUGGAUUCAGCGGCGGACGGGUGAGUAAUGCCUAGGAAUCUGCCUGGUAGUGGGGGAUAACGUCCGGAAACGGGCGCUAAUACCGCAUACGUCCUGAGGGAGAAAGUGGGGGAUCUUCGGACCUCACGCUAUCAGAUGAGCCUAGGUCGGAUUAGCUAGUUGGUGGGGUAAAGGCCUACCAAGGCGACGACCCGUAACUGGUCUGAGAGGAUGAUCAGUCACACUGGAACUGAGACACGGUCCAGACUCCUACGGGAGGCAGCAGUGGGGAAUAUUGGACAAUGGGCGAAAGCCUGAUCCUGCCAUGCCGCGUGUGUGAAGAAGGUCUUCGGAUUGUAAAGCACUUUAAGUUGGGAGGAAGGGCAGUAAGUUAAUACCUUGCUGUUUUGACGUUACCAACAGAAUAAGCACCGGCUAACUUCGUG
rnacentral:rRNA from 1 species